rnacentral:tRNA from 1 species
AGGCGCGUAGCUCAACGGUAGAGCGCUGCCUUUACCCGGCAGAGGUCGAGGGUUCGACUCCCUUCCGCGCCUA